AGUGAACGCUGGCGGUAGGCCUAACACAUGCAAGUCGAACGGCAGCACAGUAAGAGCUUGCUCUUACGGGUGGCGAGUGGCGGACGGGUGAGGAAUACAUCGGAAUCUACUUUUUCGUGGGGGAUAACGUAGGGAAACUUACGCUAAUACCGCAUACGACCUACGGGUGAAAGCAGGGGAUCUUCGGACCUUGCGCGAUUGAAUGAGCCGAUGUCGGAUUAGCUAGUUGGCGGGGUAAGGGCCCACCAAGGCGACGAUCCGUAGCUGGUCUGAGAGGAUGAUCGGCCACACUGGAACUGAGACACGGUCCAGACUCCUACGGGAGGCAGCAGUGGGGAAUAUUGGACAAUGGGCGCAAGCCUGAUCCAGCCAUACCGCGUGGGUGAAGAAGGCCUUCGGGUUGUAAAGCCCUUUUGUUGGGAAAGAAAAGCAGCAGGUUAAUACCCCGCUGUUCUGACGGUACCCAAAGAAUAAGCACCGGCUAACUUCGCG
rnacentral:rRNA from 1 species